rnacentral:rRNA from 1 species
GACAGAGGUGCCAAGCGUUAGGCGGAAUCACUGGGCUUAAAGCGUGUGUAGGCGGAUGCCUAAGUACCUUGUGAAAUCCCACGGCUCAACCGUGGAACUGCUGGGUAUACUGGGUGUCUUGGGUCAGCUAGGGGUCACUGGAACUGACGGUGGAGCGGUGAAAUGCGUAGAUAUCGUCAGGAACGCCGAUGGUGAAGACAGGUGACUGGGCUAGUUCUGACACUGAGGCACGAAAGCGUGGGGAGCGAACGGG